CCUACGGUGGGCUGCAGUGGGGAAUAUUGCACAAUGGGCGCAAGCCUGAUGCAGCCAUGCCGCGUGUGUGAAGAAGGCCUUCGGGUUGUAAAGCACUUUCAGCGGGGAGGAAGGCGUUAAGGUUAAUAACCUUGUCGAUUGACGUUACCCGAAGAAGAAGCACCGGCUAACUCCGUGCCAGCAGCCGCGGUAAUACGGAGGGUGCAAGCGUUAAUCGGAAUUACUGGGCGUAAAGCGCACGCAGGCGGUCUGUCAAGUCGGAUGUGAAAUCCCCGGGCUCAACCUGGGAACUGCAUUCGAAACUGGCAGGCUAGAGUCUUGUAGAGGGGGGUAGAAUUCCAGGUGUAGCGGUGAAAUGCGUAGAGAUCUGGAGGAAUACCGGUGGCGAAGGCGGCCCCCUGGACAAAGACUGACGCUCAGGUGCGAAAGCGUGGGGAGCAAACAGGAUUAGAUACCCGAGUAGUC
rnacentral:rRNA from 1 species